UACGUAGGGUGCAAGCGUUGUCCGGAAUUAUUGGGCGUAAAGAGCUCGUAGGCGGCUUGUCGCGUCGGAUGUGAAAGCCCGGGGCUUAACUCCGGGUCUGCAUUCGAUACAGGCAGGCUAGAGUUCGGUAGGGGAGAUCGGAAUUCCUGGUGUAGCGGUGAAAUGCGCAGAUAUCAGGAGGAACACCGGUGGCGAAGGCGGAUCUCUGGGCCGAUACUGACGCUGAGGAGCGAAAGCGUGGGGAGCGAACAGG
rnacentral:rRNA from 1 species